rnacentral:lncRNA from 1 species
GCCUGGGCAGCUGUGGGAGCUGAGAGUUUAAUGGGGAGAACGUGCUCUGUUGGCUUCACGCUCCAACAUCAGGGGGAACCAGCUGCACCGUUUCCCCAGAAUCACGGUCUCUUGAGCCCAAUAUUCAAAUAUAUGCAGACGUCGGAGCCUGGACUAUUUUUAGCUGAGACUCAGAGGGAGAUGAUCUCAGGCUGACUCGGAGAGUGGCCCAGUCCCAGAGGAGCGCAGAAUCAACCUGAAAAGUCAGGCUUGGGGACCACCCCCUUCUCCUGCUGUAAGCGCCUGGAUUCUGCACCCCAGGUGCCCUGAAGGGAUUUCUUCCCUGUGUGUCCCCGGGUCCUCUUCUGAUAAGGACACCAGUCAUUGGACUUAAGGCCUCUGCUAAUCCAGUCUGGCCUCAUCUCAAAUUGAAGAACAUCUGCACACACCCUAUUUCCAAGCCUUAGAGGGGACCCAUCUUGGACCGGAUGAGGACAACAGUCCAGAAAUGCUGGAAGACCAAGCUGCAUCUUUGGCAGAUUAUAUUUUCCAAAGAUAGAGGCAACACUAUAUCCCAUUCCACGAGCACUUCUUCUGCUGUGACUUUGACACCCCUCCCAUUGAGGGGUGGCAUCUAUGUCCCCUCCUCAUGAGCUGCAGCAGGAGGAGCUUUGUGACUCUCUUGACCAAUAGAGUAUGCCAGCAUUGACAGCAUGUGGCUUCCAAGGCUAGUUCAAAAAAAUGCCUUUCACUUCCACCUUAUUCUCCUGGGAUGUUCACUCUUGGAACCCAGCCACCAUGCUGCACGGAAGCACAAGAGUCCUUGGAAAGGCCUACAUGGAUGGGAACCAUGGCCCCCAGCCCAAAUCCCCUGCUGAGCUCCCCAGCCGACAGCACCAACUUGCCAGCCACAUGAGUGAGCUGUCCUGGAAGUGAUUCUCCAGCCUUGGGGCAAGCCACCUCAGCUGAUGCCAUGUGAAGCAGAGACAAAUUACCUCCACCAGGCCCUGCCCAAAUUGCAGAUCUGUGAGCAAAACAAAUGACUGUGACUGUUAUAAGCAGAAAAGAAAAUAGAAAAGAAAAUGGAUUCCACUCAAAAACUUGGAAGUGAACAUUUAUAGCAGCUUUAUUCAGAACUGCCAAAACUUGGAGGCAACCAAGAUGUCCUUCAGUAGGUGAAUUUGUAAACAAACUGUGAUCCAUCCAGACAAUGGAAUAUUAUUCAGUGCUAAAUGGAAAUGAGGCACCGGGCCACGAGAAGAUGCAGAGGAAUGUUAGAUGCAUGUUACGAGGUACUAGGGGGAAAGGAGCCAAUCUGAGAAGGCUACAAACUGUAGGGCUCCAACUACCUGAUGAUCUGGAAAAGGUGAGACUACGGAGAUGGUCGGAAGAUCAUGGUUUUCCAGGGUUAGGAGGAGGCAGAGAUGUACAGGGGUAGCACAGAGGAUUUUUAGGGCAAUGGAACCACUCUGUAUGGUGCCAUAAUAGUGGAUACAUCUCAUUAAAGAUUUGUCAAAACACGUAGAAUACACGGCACCAGGAGUGAGCCCUAAUGUGAACUGUGUUUGGUUGAUGAUACGUCAGUGUAGGCUCAUAGAUUGGAACACAUGGACCACUCUGGUAGGGGAUGUGGAUGGUGGGGGUGGCCUGUGUAUGUGGGGGAGGUGGCAUAUGGGAAAUCUACUUUCCACCCAACUUUGCUGUGAACAUAAAACUGCUCAAAAAAAUAGUCUUUUUUUUUUUUUUUGGAGACAGGGCCUCACUCUCACUCAGGCUAGAGGGCGGUGGUGCGGCAUGAUCACAGCUCACUGCAGCCUGGACCUCCCGGGCUCAAGUGAUCAAGCGAUCCUCCCACCUCAGUCUCCCAAGUAGCUGAGACCACCGGCACUUGCCACACUAGCUAAUUUUUAAAUAAUUUUUGUAGGCCGGGCGCCCUGGGUCGUGCCUGUAAUCCUAGCACUGGGAGGCCGAGGUGGGUGGAUCACCUAAGGUCAGGAGUUUGAAACCAGUCUGGUUAACAUGGCGAAACCCUGUCUCUACUAAAAAUACAAAAAUUAGCUGGGCGUGGUAGCAGGUGCCUGUAAUCCCAGUAAUCCCAGCUACUCGGGAGGCUGAGGCAGGAGAAUUGCUUGAACCUGGGAGGCGGGGGUUGCAGUGAGCCAAGAUCACACCACUGUACUCCAGCCUGGAUGACAGACUCCAUCUCAAAAAAAUAAAAAUAAUAACAAUUUUUGUAGAGAUGGGUUCUUGCCAUGUUGCUUGAACUCCUGGGCUUAAGUGAUCCUUCUACCUCAGAUUCUUCCACCUUGGCCUCCAAAAACGCUGAGACAACAGGCGUGAACCACCGCACCUGGCCUUUUUUUUCUUUUUUCCCCUAACUAGGCUCAGUUCCUAAAAGAAGGCCUUGGUCAGGUUUCUGAGCCCUACCCCCCUCCUGCUGGACAAGAUCAUGGAAAAUGCCUGGCUCAGCUAUUCUUUUCUCAGCCUCUUUUAAGCAGCAUAGCAGAGAGGGACAGAGGUAGAGACAGAGAGGGACUGAGAUCUGGGCUCUUCCUCCAGCUGUACGAUAUGGACCAGGCCCCUGUUCUCUUCGGGCCUCCAUCUGUAAAAUGAGGGGACAGGAGGAAUUCUGAUGGCCUGUGGCUUUGAUCUCUGUGAGCAGAUUUGGUUGUAUGAGGUCUCUCCCCUGGCAUUACAUGCUGGAACAGAAGAAAAUGGCCAUAGUCACUGUUAAUUAAAAACUGGUACCAAGUUAUUGGUACUCUCACGUUUGAAAUACCUACUAGUACCUGCUUGGUCUAGACCAGCUGUUCUCAAAGUAUGGGCCCUGGCCCCCUGUAGUAGUAGCAGCAGCACCCAGAGGUUUUUUCUGUUUUUGUUUUUGUUUAGAGAGAUGAGGUCUGUGUUACCCAGGCUGGUCUCUAACUCAAGCAUCGGCCUCCCAAGUGCUGGGAUUACAGGUGUGAGCCACCAUGCCUGGCCUUUUUCUUUCUUUUUCUUUUUUCUUUUUUUUUUUUUUUGAGACAAGGUCUUGCUCUUUGCCCAAGCUACAGUGCAGUGGCACAAUCAUGGUUCACUGCAGCCUCAAACUCCUAGGCUCAAACCAUCCUCCCACCUCAGCCUCCCGAGUAGCUGGGAACACAGGCGCAUGCCACAAACCUUGGCCUUUUUUUUUUUUUUUUUGUAGAAACGAGGUCUCAUUACGUUGCCCAAGCUCGUCUCAGACUCCUGGGCUCAAGCAAGCCUCCCGCCCACCUGGAGCUUAUUAAAGACUCAAAUCCCAGGGCCCAACCCCAGAUCUGCUGAAUCAGAAACUCCGCAGGUGGGGGCCAGCAACAUGUGUUUCAGUAAGCUCAGGAAUCAGGUGAUUCUGAUGCAUGCCAAAAUUUUAGAACCACUGGCCUGGAACAGGGUGUGUGAAGCUUGGCGCUGCUGAUGCUCCAGGCCAGAUCAUCCUACGUGGUAUGGCUGUCCUGUGCACUGGAGGAUGCUGCCAGCAUCCUUGGACUCUACCCCACUGGAGGCCAAUAGCAUGCCACCCCUGUCUCAAGUCACAACAAUCCAAAACAGUGCCAGCUGUCCUCCAGGGAACAAAACUGCCCCAGUGGAGAACCCUUGGUGGGAAGGAAGGCCCUGAUUGUGCAGUGACUCAAAUACAGGAUCACAUAAAACCUGGAGCGAAGGCCUGGCGCAGUGGCUCAUGCCUGUAAUCCCAGCACUUUUGGUGGCCGAGGUGAGUGGAUCACCUGACGUCCGGAGUUUGAGACCAGCCUGGCUAACAUGGUGAAACCCCGUCUCUACUAAAAAUACAAAAAGUAGCCGGGUGUGGUGGCACACGCCUGUAGUCCCAGCUACUCGGGAGCCUGAGGCAGGAGAAUCGCUUGAACCCAGUAGGCAGAGGUUACAGUGAGCCGAGAUUGUGCUACUGCACUCCAGCCUGGGUGACAAAGCGAGACUCCGUCUCAAAAAAAAAAAAAAAAAAAAGCCUGGAGCGAAGACGUGCAUGCAGGGUCACCAUGCCAGGCUGUCACUCUAUCCAGCCAUUUGCUCCUCACCAUGACUUGAAAAUGAUCCCCAUUUUAUAGCAAAUCCCACCUCCCUGCUUACAAGCUGUGUGACCUCGGGCAAGUUACUUGAACUCUCUGUGCCUCUCGCUGUAAAAUGGAAAUAUUAACAUAAUAGUACUUACCUGCUAGGGUAGCUGAGUGCUUGAAAUGACAACUCAAGCAUGGAACAAACUCUCAGCCCAGUGCCCGAGGAGGUAAACACCGGCUCAUUUUCUCAUUAUGUGGCUCAGGCUCUUAGCAAAAUGGAUUUGUGUUCUCUGACCUCGUGCGGCCACUGUCACAGCCAGCUGGAGGUAGGCAGAGGCCAGCCUGAGGUGAACAUGACUGAGUUCACCACUGCUUGUCAGGGUGCCUGCAGUCACGGCUCUGGGGCAGCCAGGAGAUGACCCUGGGUCACUGCCACCAGCAGGGACUUCCUUUGGGCGGCUUGGAGCAGACAGCACCCAGCUCUGCAGACCUGAGCACCCCAUGUGCCCCAAGUGACAUGGAGC